rnacentral:rRNA from 1 species
UACGAAGGGGGCUAGCGUUGCUCGGAAUCACUGGGCGUAAAGCGCACGUAGGCGGCUUUUUAAGUCAGGGGUGAAAUCCCGGAGCUCAACUCCGGAACUGCCCUUGAUACUGGAAAGCUUGAGUCCGGGAGAGGUGAGUGGAAUUCCUAGUGUAGAGGUGAAAUUCGUAGAUAUUAGGAAGAACACCAGUGGCGAAGGCGGCUCACUGGUCCGGUACUGACGCUGAGGUGCGAAAGCGUGGGGAGCAAAUAGG